rnacentral:rRNA from 1 species
UUUUGUAUAAUGGGUCAGCGACUUAUAUUCUGUAGCAAGGUUAACCGAAUAGGGGAGCCGAAGGGAAACCGAGUCUUAACUGGGCGUUAAGUUGCAGGGUAUAGACCCGAAACCCGGUGAUCUAGCCAUGGGCAGGUUGAAGGUUGGGUAACACUAACUGGAGGACCGAACCGACUAAUGUUGAAAAAUUAGCGGAUGACUUGUGGCUGGGGGUGAAAGGCCAAUCAAACCGGGAGAUAGCUGGUUCUCCCCGAAAGCUAUUUAGGUAGCGCCUCGUGAAUUCAUCUCCGGGGGUAGAGCACUGUUUCGGCAAGGGGGUCAUCCCGACUUACCAACCCGAUGCAAACUGCGAAUACCGGAGAAUGUUAUCACGGGAGACACACGGCGGGUGCUAACGUCCGUCGUGAAGAGGGAAACAACCCAGACCGCCAGCUAAGGUCCCAAAGUCAUGGUUAAGUGGGAAACGAUGUGGGAAGGCCCAGACAGCCAGGAUGUUGGCUUAGAAGCAGCCAUCAUUUAAAGAAAGCGUAAUAGCUCACUGGUCGAGUCGGCCUGCGCGGAAGAUGUAACGGGGCUAAACCAUGCACCGAAGCUGCGGCAGCGACACUGUGUGUUGUUGGGUAGGGGAGCGUUCUGUAAGCCUGUGA